rnacentral:rRNA from 1 species
UACGUAGGGCGCAAGCGUUGUCCGGAAUUAUUGGGCGUAAAGAGCUCGUAGGUGGCUUGUCACGUCGGGUGUGAAAGCUUGGGGCUUAACUCCAGGUCUGCAUUCGAUACGGGCUGGCUAGAGGUAGGUAGGGGAGAACGGAAUUCCUGGUGUAGCGGUGAAAUGCGCAGAUAUCAGGAGGAACACCCGUGGCGAAGGCGGCUCUCUGGGACGGUACUGACGCUGAGACGCGAAAGCGUGGGGAGCGAACAGG